rnacentral:lncRNA from 1 species
AAAGAUCUAACCAAGAGAUAGAAAGCUUUAUGACAUAAGUCAAGCGAGAAUUCCCUCCUUUGGAUUAAUCCUCAAGCAAACCAAAAUAAGAAAAUAAUAAUCCAUGUAUCAGAUGAAACCAAAGUAACCAAGCCGAGUCUUCAUAGAGAAGUCCAAAGUCAUAAGUAUCAGAUGAAUUCCAAGGUCUCAAGUCUCAAGUCCCAAAAAGGUCCAGAUCCUAAUUCUAAGUUCAUAACUCCAUAAUGAUGCCAAGGAUAGUAACCACAAGUCCAUGAGUUAGG